rnacentral:rRNA from 1 species
UACGUAGGGACCAAGCGUUGUUCGGAUUUACUGGGCGUAAAGGGCGCGUAGGCGGCAAUUCAAGUCAUCUGUGAAAUCUCCGGGCUUAACCCGGAACGGUCAGAUGAUACUGCUUUGCUAGAGUGCGGAAGGGGCAAUCGGAAUUCUUGGUGUAGCGGUGAAAUGCGUAGAUAUCAAGAGGAACACCUGAGGUGAAGACGGGUUGCUGGGCCGACACUGACGCUGAUGCGCGAAAGCCAGGGGAGCAAACGGG